rnacentral:rRNA from 1 species
AGUGAACGCUGGCGGUAGGCCUAACACAUGCAAGUCGAACGGCAGCACAGUAAGAGCUUGCUCUUACGGGUGGCGAGUGGCGUACGGGUGAGGAAUACAUCGGAAUCUACUUUUUCGUGGGGGAUAACGUAGGGAAACUUACGCUAAUACCGCAUACGACCUACGGGUGAAAGCAGGGGAUCUUCGGACCUUGCGCGAUUGAAUGAGCCGAUGUCGGAUUAGCUAGUUGGCGGGGUAAAGGCCCACCAAGGCGACGAUCCGUAGCUGGUCUGAGAGGAUGAUCAGCCACACUGGAACUGAGACACGGUCCAGACUCCUACGGGAGGCAGCAGUGGGGAAUAUUGGACAAUGGGCGCAAGCCUGAUCCAGCCAUACCGCGUGAGUGAAGAAGGCCUUCGGGUUGUAAAGCCCUUUUGUUGGGAAAGAAAAGCAGCAGGUUAAUACCCCGCUGUUCUGACGGUACCCAAAGAAUAAGCACCGGCUAACUUCGUG